rnacentral:rRNA from 1 species
AGAGUUUGAUUCUGGCUCAGGAUGAACGCUAGCGGCAGGCCUAAUACAUGCAAGUCGAGGGGCAGCAGGGGUAGCAAUACUCGCUGGCGACCGGCGCACGGGUGCGUAACACGUAUGCAACUUUCCUUCAACUGGAAGAUAGCCCGAAGAAAUUCGGAUUAAUAUUCCAUAGUUAUAUGAAAUGGCAUCAUUUUAUAUUUAAAGCUCAGGCGGUUGAAGAUGGGCAUGCGUUCGAUUAGCUAGUUGGUGAGGUAAUGGCUCACCAAGCUACGAUCGAUAGGGGAUCUGAGAGGAUUAACCCCCACACUGGUACUGAGACACGGACCAGACUCCUACGGGAGGCAGCAGUAAGGAAUAUUGGACAAUGGAGGCAACUCUGAUCCAGCCAUGCCGCGUGAAGGAUGAAGGUCCUAUGGAUUGUAAACUUCUUUUGAACGGGAGAAAACCUUCGGUCGUGUACCGAAGCUGAUAGUACCGUUAGAGUAAGGGUCGGCUAACUUCGUGCCAGCAGCCGCGGUAAUACGAAGGACCCGAGCGUUAUCCGGAUUUAUUGGGUUUAAAGGGUGCGUAGGCGGAAUGGUAAGUCAGUGGUGAAAUCUUGUGGCUUAACUGCAAAACUGCCAUUGAUACUGCCAAUCUUGAGUACAUUUGAUGAGGGCGGAAUGUGCCAUGUAGUGGUGAAAUACUUAGAUAUGGCACAGAACACCGAUCGCGAAGGCAGCUCACAAAACUGUUACUGACGCUGAGGCACGAAAGCGUGGGGAUCAAACAGGAUUAGAUACCCUGGUAGUCCACGCCUUAAACUAUGAUUACUCGAUGUGUGCGGUACACAGUACGCGUCUAAGCGAAAGCGUUAAGUAAUCCACCUGGGGAGUACGGUCGCAAGAUUGAAACUCAAAGAAAUUGACGGGGGCCCGCACAAGCGGAGGAGCAUGUGAUUUAAUUCGAUGAUACGCGAGGAACCUUACCUGGGCUUGAAAGUUAGUGAAUGCUGUGGAAACAUGGCAGGCCGCAAGGACACGAAACUAGGUGCUGCAUGGCUGUCGUCAGCUCGUGCCGUGAGGUGUUGGGUUAGGUCCCGCAACGAGCGCAACCCCUAUCUUUAGUUGCCAGCGAGUAAUGUCGGGGACUCUAAAGAAACUGCCCGUGCCAACGGUGAGGAAGGUGGGGAUGACGUCAAGUCAGCACGGCCCUUACGUCCAGGGCUACACACGUGCUACAAUGGCGAGUACAAAGGGCAGCUACAUGGUGACAUGAUGC